GUCCUCUCUCUCCUCUCGCCUCCUCUCCUGUCCUCAUUUCACGCCUCCUGUCCUCUCUCUCCUCUCGCCUCCUCUCCUGUCCUCAUUUCACGCCUUCUGUCCUCUCUCUCCUCUCCUGUCCUCUCUCUUCUCUCGCCUCCUCUCCUGUCCUCAUUUCAUGCCUUCUGUCCUCUCUCUCCUCUCCUCUCCUCUCUCUCUCUCUCGCCUCCUCUCCUGUCCUCAUUUCACGCCUUCUGUCCUCUCUCUCCUCUCCUGUCCUCUCUCUUCUCUCGCCUCCUCUCCUGUCCUCAUUUCAUGCCUCCUGUCCUCUCUCUCCUCUCGCCUCCUCUCCUGUCCUCAUUUCAUGCCUCCUGUCCUCUCUCUCCUCUCCCCUCCUCUCGGUGCUGGUCGCCAGUAGCCCAGUAAGGGCAGGUAAUCCCGACACUAAACCGCAACACGGCUCUCUACUGUAGGUCACUGUCAUCUCAUUACAAGCUGCUUUCUACCGCAGUGUGCUGGUGAAUGAGAUGACAGCUCUGUAGCAGCAGAGGCAUCAGAAACACCACUGUGUCAGGACUGGCUCAAGGCCAUCAACCAAUGGGAUUCUCAGCAUAGCCGCGGUCCUGUGGUGAGGAAACCUGCUUUCUGACUGCUAGAGGGUAAUGUGUCACCUGUUAUGAUAUUAACCCUGGGAGAGGUCUCAAGUCAAGGGUAAUGAUAUUUACUCUAUAAAGCCAGACCAGCUAUAGUACAUAUGAUAAUGUGGUUGUUUUUAUGAGAGAAUGUAUUCUACGUACAACUGUAUACUACCCAUAUCAGAUGUUAACCUUCUGACAAUGACAAACUGAUCAGACUGGGGAAUGACUAUUGCAUCUGCUGUCACUGAGAUGGCUCGUUGAUUUCAUGGUUAGUCUGUCUGAGGUACGAGUUAGGUUGUCUGUGAGACUGGCAGCAUGACUUGAUAGGCUUACUGCAUAUUUGCUUAUUGUUAGCUACCCUCAUCAGUGUCUUUGUAAGCUGGCUUUUUGAACUCUUUCCUUUCAUGGUUCAUUUUAAUUUGGGUUGUUCUCUCUCCCCGUGUGUUUUAACUCUAGAACGCCCUUUUGACAUUGUGUGUGUUUGUGUGGUUGUUUUGACCCCAAGAUCAAUUCCUUUUGUUUAACAUGAUAUUCCCAUAGCAUAGAAAAUGUUACCCAUAUCUACCAACACUAGGUAUUCUUCGUGCAUAGAUAUGGGAACCAUGUUGACAUGUUAGUUUAUAAUCUGUCCUAAUUGAUGUACAAUCCCCUUGAUAGCCCAGAAUUAGUUUUAUCUGGAAUGUUAAAAUGAUUUCUAAGCAUUAGCUGUUAAGAGCUAAUUUCCCCUUUUUGUAUAUGGUUCCAUACAGUACAGUACAGUAGAGCGUUGCAUACUAUAAACUGAGUUAACAUUUUGUCACUGUCAAGAAACCAGUACUCUUAUAGGAAGGAAGCUACAAGCGGAGAGAAUGGAAAACAAGGGGUCCAGACGCGUAGUAGCCGAGACCACAAAGCACCCCUCUCCACUCCUCCUCUUCUCCUCUCUGUGAUACAGACGGGAGAGACACGGCCGCUGCUGACGCAUCAUCAAAAGGAGACGUUCCUUUGGGAAGCCUGAAGUGUCACAUUACAGUUCUGACAGCACAUCGCCUCCCCCGGGACGCACCAGCGCUACAGGGACCGACGGCACAAGCACAGAUACGACUGUGUGACGAUGACGAUGACGUGACUGGCUGAGUGAAUCUGGUCCUCAAGUAUUAAUCCGUAUUUAUUGAUGUUCUUAUGAAUUCCAGUCCUGUCACAUUGUAAGAUAUUCUUUACGGGACAAAUGAUCAUUAAAAAACGUUGAUUGGACCCGUUA
ensembl:lncRNA